rnacentral:rRNA from 1 species
ACGAACGCUGGCGGCGUGCUUAACACAUGCCAGUCGAACGAAGAGCGAUGGAAGCUUGCUUCUAUCAAUCUUAGUGGCGAACGGGUGAGUAACGCGUAAUCAACCUGCCCUUCAGAGGGGGACAACAGUUGGAAACGACUGCUAAUGCCGCAUACGAUCUGACCUCGGCAUCGAGGAUAGAUGAAAGGUGGCCUCUAUUUAUAAGCUAUCACUGAAGGAGGGGAUUGCGUCUGAUUAGCUAGUUGGAGGGGUAACGGCCCACCAAGGCGAUGAUCAGUAGCCGGUCUGAGAGGAUGAACGGCCACAUUGGGACUGAGACACGGCCCAGACUCCUACGGGAGGCAGCAGUGGGGAAUCUUCCGCAAUGGACGAAAGUCUGACGGAGCAACGCCGCGUGAGUGAUGACGGCCUUCGGGUUGUAAAGCUCUGUUAAUCGGGACGAAAGGCCUUCUUGCGAAUAGUUAGAAGGAUUGACGGUACCGGAAGAGAAAGCCACGGCUAACUACGUG